rnacentral:rRNA from 1 species
GAUGAACGCUGGCGGCGUGCCUAAUACAUGCAAGUCGAGCGAACGGACGAGAAGCUUGCUUCUCUGAUGUUAGCGGCGGACGGGUGAGUAACACGUGGAUAACCUACCUAUAAGACUGGGAUAACUUCGGGAAACCGGAGCUAAUACCGGAUAAUAUUUUGAACCGCAUGGUUCAAAAGCGAAAGACGGUCUUGCUGUCACUUAUAGAUGGAUCCGCGCUGCAUUAGCUAGUUGGUAAGGUAACGGCUUACCAAGGCAACGAUGCAUAGCCGACCUGAGAGGGUUAUCGGCCACACUGGAACUGAGACACGGUCCAGACUCCUACGGGAGGCAGCAGUAGGGAAUCUUCCGCAAUGGGCGAAAGCCUGACGGAGCAACGCCGCGUGAGUGAUGAAGGUCUUCGGAUCGUAAAACUCUGUUAUUAGGGAAGAACAUAUGUGUAAGUAACUGUGCACAUCUUGACGGUACCUAAUCAGAAAGCCACGGCUAACUACGUG